AGAGAGAGACAUGCGCGCAUAUCAAUAAGCGGAGGAAAAGAAACUAACAAGGAUUCCCCUAGUAACGGCGAGUGAAGCGGGAAGAGCUCAAAUUUGAAAUCUUAAAGGUUUUCCCUUGACGAAUUGUAGUUUAAAGAAGUGUUUUCUGUUGAAGGUUUUGGUAAAAGUUCUUUGGAAUAGGACAUCAUAGAGGGUGAGAAUCCCGUAUUUGACCUUUACUUUCAACUUUGUGAUACACUUUCAAAGAGUCGGAUUGUUUGGGAAUGCAGUCCAAAAUGGGUGGUAAAUUUCAUCUAAAGCUUAAAUAUUGGCGAGAGACCGAUAGCGAACAAGUACCGUGAGGGAAAGAUGAAAAGAACUUUGAAAAGAGAGUUAAACAGUACGUGAAAUUGUCAAAAGGGAAGCGUUUGACACCAGUGUUGUUUUUCUGAAAAUCAAUUAAAGAACUGUUUAUGCUAAGUUGUUUAGACUUUAUCAGCUAACUGUUUAGUUUUGAGCUUUUCUUUAAUGCACUUUUCAGUUAACAAGUCAACAUCAAUUUCUUUUGCUGUAAAAAAGCUUGAGGAAGGUGGCUUGAGAUUCGUCUUAAGUGUUUAUAGCCUCUUGCCUAUGCAGUCGGAGAGAUUGAGGUCUGCAGCGUAGAUCCUUCGGGGCUAAAUGCAUUUGUGCUAAGUUAUAGCAUUUUAUAGACAACUUGUUGACUAUGAUUUGUCUUGUAGCUUACUCGCUUAUGUUAUUUUACCUACGCUUAGGAUGUUGACGCAUGAGAUAUACGC
rnacentral:rRNA from 1 species